rnacentral:miRNA from 1 species
AGGGUAAGGGGCAGGGGCAGGGAUUCAAGUGCCCUCAGGGACACUGACCCAGCCUCUGUGUCCCCAG